rnacentral:rRNA from 1 species
CACGGGGGGAGCAAGCGUUGUUCGGAAUUACUGGGCGUAAAGGGCGCGUAGGCGGCCUUCUAAGUCGAACGUGAAAUCCCCGGGCUCAACCCGGGAACUGCGUCCGAUACUGGAAGGCUUGAAUCCGGGAGAGGGAUGCGGAAUUCCAGGUGUAGCGGUGAAAUGCGUAGAGAUCAGGAAGAACACCGGUGGCGAAAGCGCUCUGCUAGGCCGCAACUGACACUGAGGGACGAAAGCUAGGGGAGCGAAUGGG